AUUCUUACGGGGGUGCAAUAUUUGUAGGAUUGAAGAAGCUCAGUGCCCGGUGGGGAGUUUGCCUGGGGCAGUACACCUGUCAAACAGUAACAUAGGGGUCCUACGGCCAGCUCAGGGAGGACAGAAAAUUCCUGUGGAGCAGAAGGACAAAAGCUCAUUUGAUCUUGACUUUCAGUAUGAAUACAGACCGUGAAAGCGGGGACUCACGAUCCUUCUGACCUUUAGCCAUCAAGGUGAUGGG
rnacentral:ncRNA from 1 species